GGGCUCGUAGGGUAGCGGAUAUCCUAUUGGGCUUCGGACCCAAUGACCCGUGUUCGAAUCGCGGCGAGCCCG
rnacentral:tRNA from 2 species